rnacentral:rRNA from 1 species
AUUGAACGCUGGCGGCAGGCCUAACACAUGCAAGUCGAGCGGUAGAGAGGUGCUUGCAUCUCUUGAGAGCGGCGGACGGGUGAGUAAUGCCUAGGAAUCUGCCUAGUGGUGGGGGGAUAACGUUCGGAAACGGACGCUAAUACCGCAUACGUCCUACGGGAGAAAGCGGGGGAUCUUCGGACCUCGCGCCAUUAGAUGAGCCUAGGUCGGAUUAGCUAGUUGGUGAGGUAAUGGCUCACCAAGGCGACGAUCCGUAACUGGUCUGAGAGGAUGAUCAGUCACACUGGAACUGAGACACGGUCCAGACUCCUACGGGAGGCAGCAGUGGGGAAUAUUGGACAAUGGGCGCAAGCCUGAUCCAGCAAUGCCGCCGUGCAGGAUGAAGGCC